rnacentral:rRNA from 1 species
GACGGAGGGUGCUAGCGUUGUUCGGAAUCACUGGGCGUAAAGGGCGCGUAGGCGGCCUGGGAAGUCGGCUUUGUGAAAGCCCGGGGCUCAACCCCGGAGGUGCGGCCGAUACUUUCAGGCUCGAGGCCGGAAGAGGAGGGUGGAAUACCCAGUGUAGAGGUGAAAUUCGUAGAUAUUGGGUGGAACACCGGUGGCGAAAGCGGCUCUCUGGUCCGGUCCUGACGCUGAGGAGCGAAAGCGUGGGGAGCAAACAGG